rnacentral:rRNA from 1 species
UGCCAGCAGCCGCGGUAAGACGAACCGUACAAACGUUAUUCGGAGUCACUGGGCUUAAAGCGUGCGUAGGCGGCUUGGCAAGUUGGGUGUGAAAUCCCUCGGCUCAACCGAGGAAUGGCGCCCAAAACUGCUAGGCUUGAGGGAGAUAGAGGUGAGCGGAACUUCUGGUGGAGCGGUGAAAUGCGUUGAUAUCAUAGGGAACACCGGUGGCGAAAGCGGCUCACUGGGUCUUUUCUGACGCUGAGGCACGAAAGCUAGGGGAGCGAACGGGAUUAGAUA